GGCGCAAAGGAGGAGGACGGCUGCCGACUGGCGUCCCGGUGUGGCCAGCGGCUCGAUCCAGCGCUUCCGACAGAGCCCUCCGCUCCCGGUUGCCGCGCGCAGCCAGAUGUUCUGGAUGGGCAGAACAUCUGGGAUGGGCAGAGAGUUUUCAACCCCAGCCCAGCCCCCUUUUCUACUCGAUGCAAAGAGGGGUUUGUCAACACCCCCUCGGGGUUCCCCCCAGCCCUUCACCCGCCUUUCGUGCGCCCGGGCCCUGCGCUUCCAUCCGUCUGUUUACCGAUCCGCCGGAGAGCCGCACCUCCGCCCUGGGAUCUCGGCCAAGGUUCCCGCUGACCCUGAAAAACCCAGAACCCAGAACUUCAUCCAACCUGCAGGGAUUGCACGCAAGACGACGCCACGAAACUCCCGACCACAGCAAGGCUGACCUUGUUCAAACUCUUUUCUCUUGAGUUUUGCAAGGCCUGAUUUUCAGCAAACAUCUCUGCCUUGGCAGAGGAAAAACGCUUUGCCCAAUCCUGGUGAGAUUACCCAAGAAAAGAUAAAGGCAUCAGUCAAUGAAUUAUCUCUCUGUCUCUGGCUUGGCCCCCCUGGCUUGUUCCCCCCCCCAUCCAAAAUGAACUUUAUUAGCAUUUCUGCCUGACGGUAUCAGCCAGGAGGGCUGCCAGCUCUGGAAUUAUGUCAGUUAAAUCAACGGAGCCCCUGGCUGCGAUCAUUCUUCUCGACUCCAGCUGCAAAGUCAGUUAUUCAAUAAAUAAAUAAAAAAA